rnacentral:tRNA from 3 species
UAGAAAAUAAUAUAAAGGAAGUAUAGGGAGUUUUGAUCUCCCCUGUGUAGGUUCGAGUCCUACUUUUCUAA